AUGAGUGGCGAACGGGUGAGUAACACGUGAGUAACCUGCCCCCUUCUUUGGGAUAACGCCCGGAGACGGGUGCUAAUACUGGAUAUUCACUGAUCUUCGCAUGGGGGUUGGUGGAAAGGGUUUUUUCUGGUGGGGGAUGGGCUCGCGGCCUAUCAGCUUGUUGGUGGGGUGAUGGCCUACCAAGGCUUUGACGGGUAGCCGGCCUGAGAGGGUGACCGGUCACAUUGGGACUGAGAUACGGCCCAG
rnacentral:rRNA from 1 species